GUAACUUCUCUGCCACUGUCUCACAGUUCCUGCCUGUCGGGCGGGGUGAGCUGCAUGGAUGGAACCCCUCCAGGGCCUCCUCACCAGCCCUGCGGGGCCUCCACCCCACAGGAGAGAUCCUUACAAGCCACCCUCUUUCAUGUGGCUACAGGAACCCCAGAUCUGUGGCCAGAGCCUGCACCUCCCAAACAUUUAGCCUUGAGCAGGUUUACUCAAGGGCUGUAAGUCCUGGGUCUGUCUUCUGUAUAGUGAUACCGGUCACCCCCGCUUUGCAAUUCUCUAUGCUCUGACCUUAUGCCAAUGACUCAGCCUCUCGAAACUUUACUGCCCUUCUGUAAAAUGGGUGCAUUGAUAGUGCCCCUUAGGGUUUGGUAGAGAUGGAAGGUGCUUAUUUUGGAGGCGGCCAAGCUCCCUGGCUGGCACAGAACACCCGAGUACCUGGCUAUGGAAUGGAAGAACACGCCUGCUGCUUGUCAGUCUUUUUUUUUUUUUUUUUUUCUUUAAAGCUGGGCUUCUCCAAAGUUUUGUCCAGCUUGGAAUGGACCCAGGGACACUUAGUGGGAAGCUUAUGUGUUCCUGAAAAACACCCCAGAAACACCCUGGGGUGAGUAGAAAACAGCCCCCUAAUUUACCUGUUGGGAAAGCGAUGAGAUACUCAAGGAAAACCAUGUUUUGCUGCCCGAGCUGGCCCUGCUGGGAGAAGCAGGAGCUCAGAGGCAGCUGCUGGGGGCUUCCUGCACCCCAAAGCUGCAGUGCUUGGGAAGGCAGCACUGAGGGCCAGCGUCUCCUCAUGUUCAGACCUGAAGAGUGAGUUUGGGGUGAGGACACUUAGGAGGUUGGCACAGAGGGGUGCAGGGAGGAGGCUCUGCUGGGUGAUGGUGGUGCUCAGUGACAGUUAGGACAGAGCUGGGGGCCGCUGUGGGGAUGGGCUCUUGCCUGCUGCUCCUGAAAAGUGUGGUUUGUGUUUCUGCCUGGGACAUCGGGACUUUGAAGCCAUUUGGGCUUGAAGCCUGACCCCUCCCCGGGCCCACAGAUGCCCAGUAGGUAACUGAAAGCAAGUAAAGCCUGACCAGUUUAUAACCAUCAUUAGUGAAAGUCUUGGGUCAAAUCUUGGCUCUCUACAGGGUGUGCAGAUCAUUCAGGGGGUGUCGGUCUGUCUGUCUGUCUGUAGCUGCAGGACAGCACUGAUGAGCACGGGAUUACAUGAUCUCAUUGCCCUUCACGACAGAGGACACCAAGAUAAGAGGCUCACAGGGACACUGAGCUACACACAGAAGUCUCCAGCCACUGUCCCAAACCUGUGUCACCUGGCCUCCAGGAAAGACAGAGGCCCAUGACGGAGACCUCCACAGACAGAGACAGGCCUUUCCUGGGACGAGACCACCCCUGAGCCAGGAAGAUUGCAGAACCACAGCACCAGGACAGAGAUGGUGAUCAGUGGGAUUCCACGCCACCAGCGCCUCCCUGCAGGCUGGUGUUUGCACUUGGGCUGGUCUGAACCCCUGCAGCUGAGAGCCCCAUCUCCAGCCGCCUAGCUGGCAUCCGUUCUGCUUUCCCUUUAACUUUCUAGUGUAAGCCAUUUCUUAUAAGUGUGGACCUUGGUUUUAAUGUCCAUUUCUACUAAAGCGAGGGCUCAUGCUAGCUGCUGACAAAUUUUGGUGCUCCAGGUGAGGCUCUUCCAACCUGCUGUAGGACUCUCCUGGAUGCUGCAAUGAACCGAGAGUGGACACCACGGACGGAAGCUGAGGAAUCUGUGAUGGAAGAAUAAAGGAUCUGUGCCCGAAAGUCCAAGGCUGGUGCUGGAGGCUAGAGAGUCUGAGAGGCUGGUGCUGGAAGCCGAAGAAUGUAUGUGAUGAACCAGCGGAUGAUGCUCAAGGCAAAGGCACAGACCAGGGCUCCCAGCCAGAGUGAGUGUCCAGCCCAAAGGCUGGAGGAUAGCACUCGAGGCAAAGGUGGCACGCAUGUUGUUCCAGUGACAGAAAAGAGAUAAAGGCAGCUGGGAUGGGACACAGAGUCCCUGUGAAAUUACACAAGGUUGAGAUGACCACACCACUGUAGGACGGGAGUAACCAGCCACCUGGACGCUCAACAACUGAGCCUUAGAGACCGAAGAAGCUAAGGAGGGCAAAAAGAGCUAAAAGGAGACCUGAGACCUGGGGAGCAAUGGGGCCCCUUUGAGAGGGCCUGCAGCCCUGGCGAGUCACCGAACCGCCCAGGAAGGGGGAUGCUUGGAACCUUAGGAGUUGACUAAAGUGCAUUAUGCUGAAGGGGGAUCUCUGCAGUGGGGAGCUGCCCCCCGCUUCCAAGGGAAGUCACCUUGGCAGACGGCAUGAUGGGUAAAGGGCUAAGGGAACUAAAAAGCCCCUUCAUGUGUCCCCAAGGUAGCCCCAGGAUGCCCAGGCUCACAUUAAUAGUGCAGGGAAGCUAAUUUUGAUUACCUGCUCUAUCUUAAACAGCCACCAGGAGAGUAGAACCAGAGAGUGAAAUCAUAGUGCAAGAAUAAAAAAGAAACAGUGCUUUUGUUUCUUCUUCCUUAAGGUGAGGGAGGCUGAGGUCUGCUGGGGGAGUGACUCAGGAGUGGCAUUGUCUGUGACCAGCAUGGAUGGGGAGGAGGCAGAGCCCCGGCCUCCCCUGCUGCUCCUAAAAGCUUGUGAUUUAUGUUUCCGCUGGGACAAUCGGGACUUUGAAGCCAUUUGAGCUGUGAAGCCUGACCCCUCCCUGGGCCCACAGAUGCCCAGUAGGUAACCAAGAGCAAGUGAAGCCUGACCAGUUUAUAACCAUCAUUAGUGAAAGUCUUGAGUCAAAUCUCGGCUCUGUACAGGGUGUGCAGAUCAUUCAGGGGGUGUCUGUCUGUCUGUCUGUCUGGAGCUACAGGACAGCGCUGAUGAGCACGGGAUUACAUGAUCUCAUCGCCCUUCACGACAGAGGACACCAAGAUAAGAGGCUCACAGGGACACUGAGCUACACACAGAAGUCUCCAGCCACUGUCCCAAACCUGUGUCACCUGGGCUCCAGGAAAGACAGGGGCUACGUGACUGAGACUCCCACAGACAGAGACAGCUCUUUCCUGGGCUGAGACCAUCCCUGAGCCAGGAAGAUUGCAGAACCACAGCACCAGGACGGAGAUGGUGAUCGAUGAGAUUCCACGACACUAGCGCCUCCCUGCAGGCGGCACUUCUGCCUUGGCAGGUGGACCAGUCUGAACCCCUUGAUGAGAGUACACCCCUUCCAUCUCCCCAAACUGGAGUCCACUCCUCCUUUUCUUUCCAAUUAAAAGCUUUUUAUCCCUGUAAA